AUUUUGCGUUAGGGAUUGCAGCGGCAUCCUUUUAACACGAGGCUGAGCUUGUCGAGGCUUCAUGUUAAAAGAUAAAGCGGAAAGCCCGGCCCAAA
rnacentral:sRNA from 1 species